AUUCCAUAAUGGGGACAUUCUAGGGUGUAGUCUUCGAAGCACACCCAUGCUUCAAGAACGGAUUCAUCAUGUUGUUGCUGAAAACUUGUAAUCUUCCCACAGAGAGC
rnacentral:snoRNA from 1 species